UCCAGAGAUGGAUUGGUGCCUUCGGGAACUCUGAGACAGGUGCUGCAUGGCUGUCGUCAGCUCGUGUUGUGAAAUGUUGGGUAAAGUCCCGCAACGGGCACGACCGUUAUAGUUGUUUGGCAGCGAGGAAUGUGGGGAACUACGGGGAGAAUGCAGGUGAUAAACCGGAGGAAGGUGGGGACGACGACAAGUCAUCAUGGCCCUUCCGAGUAGGGGUACACACGUGCUACAAUGGCGCAUACAGAGGGC
rnacentral:rRNA from 1 species